GGGCACCCACUGUCACCUCCCAGUCCCACCUCUCCCCGGUUGUGGCUUCUCUCUGAGGCAAACCCGGCUGGGGCUCCCUCAGGCACAAAGAGAAGUGGCGGGGUGCUCUCUGUAAAGAGGGGACCCCAGAGCGUUGCUGUCCUCCGCCUGGUUGGAGACAGGAAAAGGUGGCGUUUUCCGGCCUUGAGGUCCCCGCCGGCUUGAUUGACCUGGAAAAGGAGUUGGAACCCUGAGGAGUCGCACGCUCCGGGCCGGGCCCCAACCCUGGGACAAAGCUGAGCCCCUCCAGGAGACCUUGGCUUCCCUGAGCGCUCUGGGCUUCAGGUCUUCACCAGGGUGCCCCGAAUCAAUAGCUCUGAAACCUUAGACUAGGGUGCACUUUAAGCCCAGGUUUUAAACCACGGUCAAUGUUAAGGUGAAUUUAAAAAGGAAGCGGACACAACUGUUCGGGAAAGCAAAAUACUUGGGUGGAGUGUUAAAAGCCUCAAAGAAAAUAAUAGUUGGCAGGUUAAACAGCCAUGAGGUCGGAAGUCAAAUUCAAAACCGCAGAAGUGAUACCAGAAUUUUGACAAGCAAAACAGUAGGUGAAGAUAAGGGACCCGGCCCUGUUUCCUUUCUCCAACUGACCGCCUGCUCCCAAGUUGCCUUUGGCAGACACCUGGGUUCCACUCCAGAUUCCUCAGAGUUUUACUUGGGGCUCAUAUUUCAAAAUAUAUGUUCCAUUUGGCACUAAUGUAUACAUUUUAUAUACGGAUUUAUUGAAAAAUAUUAAAUGUUACUGGCCUAGUUAGAUAAAAAGUAUUUUAUAAAUAUUUAUGCACAGCUUUCAUUACAUAUGGCAUUUGAAAAAGUACAAAUACGCAUGUAUAUACAAUGCUGUGUGAAAAUUCCUUUUGCAUGCAUACAUUCCUCACACAUAUGUCUUGUGUGAUUUUUUUUCACUUGUUCUAUUGCUAGCUGCCAUUAAAAGCGGUCCAUUUUCACGUG